rnacentral:snoRNA from 1 species
AUCCUUUUGUAGUUCAUGAGUGUGAAUACUGGGUGUUCACACACAUUUGUGAGAUGUGCCACCCUUGAACCGUGUUACGAUGUCAGCACAUUACCCAUCUGACA